rnacentral:rRNA from 1 species
CAGUCGCCACGGGAAUACGUAGGGUGCAAGCGUUACUCGGAAUUACUGGGCGUAAAGCGUGUGUAGGUGGUUGUUUAAGCCUGUCGUGAAAGCCCUGGGCUCAACCUGGGAAUUGCGAUGGAUACUGGGCGACUAGAGUGCGGUAGUGGAUAGUGGAAUUUCCGGUGUAGCAGUGAAAUGCGUAGAGAUCGGAAGGAACAUCUGUGGCGAAGGCGACUAUCUGGGCCAACACUGACACUGAGGCACGAAAGCGUGGGGAGCAAACAGGAUUAGAUACCCCCGUAGUCCCUGUCUCUUAUAA